ACUCCUACGGGAGGCAGCAGUGGGGAAUAUUGCACAAUGGGGGAAACCCUGAUGCAGCCAUGCCGCGUGUGUGAAGAAGGCCUUCGGGUUGUAAAGCACUUUCAGUUGUGAGGAAAAGUUAGUAGUUAAUACCUGCUAGCCGUGACGUUAACAACAGAAGAAGCACCGGCUAACUCCGUGCCAGCAGCCGCGGUAAUACGGAGGGUGCGAGCGUUAAUCGGAAUUACUGGGCGUAAAGCGCACGCAGGCGGUUUGUUAAGCUAGAUGUGAAAGCCCCGGACUCAAACCUGGGGAUGGUCAUUUAGAACUGGCAGACUAGAGUCUUGGAGAGGGGAGUGGAAUUCCAGGUGUAGCGGUGAAAUGCGUAGAUAUCUGGAGGAACAUCAGUGGCGAAGGCGACUCCCUGGCCAAAGACUGACGCUCAUGUGCGAAAGUGUGGGUAGCGAAACAGGAUUAGAUACCCUGGUAGGAUAGCG
rnacentral:rRNA from 1 species